rnacentral:rRNA from 1 species
GAUGAACGCUGGCGGCGUGCCUAAUACAUGCAAGUCGAGCGAACAGACGAGGAGCUUGCUCCUCUGACGUUAGCGGCGGACGGGUGAGUAACACGUGGAUAACCUACCUAUAAGACUGGGAUAACUUCGGGAAACCGGAGCUAAUACCGGAUAAUAUAUUGAACCGCAUGGUUCAAUAGUGAAAGACGGUUUUGCUGUCACUUAUAGAUGGAUCCGCGCCGCAUUAGCUAGUUGGUAAGGUAACGGCUUACCAAGGCGACGAUGCGUAGCCGACGUGAGAGGGUGAUCGGCCACACUGGAACUGAGACACGGUCCAGACUCCUACGGGAGGCAGCAGUAGGGAAUCUUCCGCAAUGGGCGGAAGCCUGACGGAGCAACGCCGCGUGAGUGAUGAAGGUCUUCGGAUCGGAAAACUCUGUUAUUAGGGAAGAACAAAUGUGUAAGUAACUAUGCACGUCUUGACGGUACCUAAUCAGAAAGCCACGGCUAACUACGUG